GUGGGGAAUAUUGGACAAUGGGCGAAAGCCUGAUCCAGCCAUGCCGCGUGUGUGAAGAAGGUCUUCGGAUUGUAAAGCACUUUAAGUUGGGAGGAAGGGCAGUAAGUUAAUACCUUGCUGUUUUGACGUUACCGACAGAAUAAGCACCGGCUAACUUCGUGCCAGCAGCCGCGAUAAUACGAAGGGUGCAAGCGUUAAUCGGAAUUACUGGGCGUAAAGCGCGCGUAGGUGGUUUUGUAAGUUGGAGGUGAAAUCCCCGGGCUCAACCUGGGAACUGCCUCCAAAACUGCAUGACUAGAGUACGGGAGAGGGUAGUGGAAUUUCCUGUGGAGCGGUGAAAUGCGUAGAUAUAGGAAGGAACACCAGUGGCGAAGGCGACCACCUGGACUGAUACUGACACUGAGGUGCGAAAGCGUGGGGAGCAAACAGGAUUAGAUACCCGAGUAGUCC
rnacentral:rRNA from 1 species